rnacentral:rRNA from 1 species
UACAGAAGUCUCGAGCGUUGUUCGGAUUCAUUGGGCGUAAAGGGUGCGUAGGCGGCGCCGUAAGUCGGGUGUGAAAUUUCGGAGCUUAACUCCGAAACUGCAUUCGAUACUGCGGUGCUUGAGGACUGGAGAGGAGACUGGAAUUCAUGGUGUAGCAGUGAAAUGCGUAGAGAUCAUGAGGAAGACCAGUGGCGAAGGCGGGUCUCUGGACAGUUCCUGACACUGAGGCACGAAGGCCAGGGGAGCAAACGGG